rnacentral:rRNA from 1 species
GACGUCGAGCACCUACGGGUGUGAAGUCAUUGAUGCCAUGCUUCCAGGAAAAGCCUCUAAGCUUCAGAUUGUAAGGAAUCGUACCCCAAACCGACACAGGUGGUCGGGUAGAGAAUACCAAGGCGCUUGAGAGAACUCGGGUGAAGGAACUAGGCAAAAUGGUACCGUAACUUCGGGAGAAGGUACGCUCUUGAUGGUGAAGUCCCUUGCGGAUGGAGCUGACGAGAGUCGCAGAUACCAGGUGGCUGCAACUGUUUAUUAAAAACACAGCACUGUGCAAAAUCGUAAGAUGACGUAUACGGUGUGACGCCUGCCCGGUGCCGGAAGGUUAAUUGAUGGGGUUAGACUUCGGUCGAAGCUCUUGAUCGAAGCCCCGGUAAACGGCGGCCGUAACUAUAACGGUCCUAAGGUAGCGAAAUUCCUUGUCGGGUAAGUUCCGACCUGCACGAAUGGCGUAAUGAUGGCCACGCUGUCUCCACCCGAGACUCAGUGAAAUUGAAAUCGCUGUGAAGAUGCAGUGUACCCGCGGCUAGACGGAAAGACCCCGUGAACCUUUACUACAGCUUGGCACUGAACAUUGACCCUACAUGUGUAGGAUAGGUGGGAGGCUUUGAAGCACGUACGCCAGUAUGUGUGGAGCCGUCCUUGAAAUACCACCCUUGUAGUGUUGAUGUUCUAACGUCGACCCCUAAUCGGGGUUGCGGACAGUGCCUGGUGGGUAGUUUGACUGGGGCGGUCUCCUCCCAAAGAGUAACGGAGGAGCACGAAGGUGGGCUAAUCACGGUUGGACAUCGUGAGGUUAGUGCAAUGGCAUAAGCCCGCUUGACUGCGAGAAUGACAAUUCGAGCAGGUGCGAAAGCAGGUCAUAGUGAUCCGGUGGUUCUGAAUGGAAGGGCCAUCGCUCAACGGAUAAAAGGUACUCCGGGGAUAACAGGCUGAUACCGCCCAAGAGUUCAUAUCGACGGCGGUGUUUGGCACCUCGAUGUCGGCUCAUCACAUCCUGGGGCUGAAGUCGGUCCCAAGGGUAUGGCUGUUCGCCAUUUAAAGUGGUACGCGAGCUGGGUUUAGAACGUCGUGAGACAGUUCGGUCCCUAUCUGCCGUGGGCGUUGGAAGAUUGAAGGGGGCUGCUCCUAGUACGAGAGGACCGGAGUGGACGAACCUCUGGUGUUCGGGUUGUGUCGCCAGACGCAUUGCCCGGUAGCUAAGUUCGGAAUCGAUAACCGCUGAAAGCAUCUAAGCGGGAAGCGAGCCCUGAGAUGAGUCUUCCCUGAUACUUUAAGUAUCCUAAAGGGUUGUCGGAGACUACGACGUUGAUAGGUCAGGUGUGUAAGUGCUGUGAGGCAUUGAGCUAACUGAUACUAAUUGCCCGUGAGGCUUAACCAU